GAACCUACGGGGGGCAGCAGUGAGGAAUAUUGGUCAAUGGGGGAAACCCUGACGCAGCAACGCCGCGUGCGGGAUGAAGGCCUUCGGGUUGUAAACCGCUUUCAGCAGGGAAGACGCAGACGGUACCUGCAGAAGAAGCCUCGGCUAACUACGUGCCAGCAGCCGCGGUAAUACGUAGGGGGCGAGCGUUAUCCGGAUUCAUUGGGCGUAAAGCGCGCGCAGGCGGACCGUUAAGCGGGACCUCUAAUCCUGGGGCUCAACCUCAGGCCGGGUCCCGAACUGGCGGGCU
rnacentral:rRNA from 1 species